rnacentral:lncRNA from 1 species
CCGUGCAGAUGCAGCAAAGCAUUUGAAGUGAAAGUGCAUGAGGCGUACGUGGCAGGUGUUCACGAAGACGACACACACUUCACGCAGCUGCAGGUGUUGUCCUGGAAUCACUUUUUGGAAGUGAAAAGCUGUUUCACAAAUGUUUCACCUCAACAUCCCUCCUCACUUGCUGACUGCACAGUGAGAUUUGUUUCCGCGUGGUCCUGAGGACUGAAUCGAGGGCCCAGUGCAAAGCGAGAAGUGUUCUGCCGGCCAGCGACGCACAAUCCAAGCUUCGGGCUGGGAUUUUCGAGGUCCCACCCCUCACAGCCCCGUCCACUCCCCAUUUCUGCCCAUGUUUCCGUUGAAGCCAGGGUUCGUUCUCAGCCGUGCACCAGAG